rnacentral:rRNA from 1 species
GAUGAACGCUGACAGAAUGCUUAACACAUGCAAGUCUUUGGCGAAGCUGUGCUUGCACAGCCUAGCCAAGGCGGACGGGUGAGUAACGCGUAAGGAACUUGCCCUGCAGUCAGGGAUAACAGACGGAAACGACUGAUAAGACCUGGUAAAGUCAGGCGGACUCAUGUCCAGCCUGAUGAAAAGAGAUGCUGCAGGAGAGCCUUGCGUCCUAUUAGCUUGUUGGUGGGGUAACGGCCCACCAAGGCGAUGAUAGGUAGCCGGCCUGAGAGGGUGGACGGCCACAAGGGGACUGAGAUACGGCCCUUACUCCUACGGGAGGCAGCAGUGGGGAAUAAUGGACAAUGGGGGCAACCCUGAUCAAGCAAUUCUGUGUGCACGAUGAAGGUUUUCGGAGUGUAAAGUGCUUUCAGCGGGGAAGAAAAAAAUGACGGUACCUGCAGAAGAAGCGACGGCUAAAUACGUG